GCGGCGUGCUAUACAUGCAAGUCGAGCGAACAGACGAGGAGCUUGCUCCUCUGACGUUAGCGGCGGACGGGUGAGUAACACGUGGAUAACCUACCUAUAAGACUGGGAUAACUUCGGGAAACCGGAGCUAAUACCGGAUAAUAUAUUGAACCGCAUGGUUCAAUAGUGAAAGACGGUUUUGCUGUCACUUAUAGAUGGAUCCGCGCCGCAUUAGCUAGUUGGUAAGGUAACGGCUUACCAAGGCAACGAUGCGUAGCCGACCUGAGAGGGUGAUCGGCCACACUGGAACUGAGACACGGUCCAGACUCCUACGGGAGGCAGCAGUAGGGAAUCUUCCGCAAUGGGCGAAAGCCUGACGGAGCAACGCCGCGUGAGUGAUGAAGGUCUUCGGAUCGUAAAACUCUGUUAUUAGGGAAGAACAAAUGUGUAAGUAACUAUGCACGUCUUGACGGUACCUAAUCAGAAAGCCACGGCUAACUACGUGCCAGCAGCCGCGGUAAUACGUAGGUGGCAAGCGUUAUCCGGAAUUAUUGGGCGUAAAGCGCGCGUAGGCGGUUUUUUAAGUCUGAUGUGAAAGCCCACGGCUCAACCGUGGAGGGUCAUUGGAAACUGGAAAACUUGAGUGCAGAAGAGGAAAGUGGAAUUCCAUGUGUAGCGGUGAAAUGCGCAGAGAUAUGGAGGAACACCAGUGGCGAAGGCGACUUUCUGGUCUGUAACUGACGCUGAUGUGCGAAAGCGUGGGGAUCAAACAGGAUUAGAUACCCUGGUAGUCCACGCCGUAAACGAUGAGUGCUAAGUGUUAGGGGGUUUCCGCCCCUUAGUGCUGCAGCUAACGCAUUAAGCACUCCGCCUGGGGAGUACGACCGCAAGGUUGAAACUCAAGGAAAUUGACGGGGACCCGCACAAGCGGUGGAGCAUGUGGUUUAAUUCGAAGCAACGCGAAGAACCUUACCAAAUCUUGACAUCCUCUGACCCCUCUAGAGAUAGAGUUUUCCCCUUCGGGGGACAGAGUGACAGGUGGUGCAUG
rnacentral:rRNA from 1 species